GCUAGUCGCACGAGUUUAGACUCGUGGCGCAUAGCUCCAUAACACGUGGCCAAACAACCCUUCGGAGGAGCACAACCUCGGGAAACUGAGGCUAAUUCUCCAUACGACACUCAGCCUGGAAUGGAGAGUGUCCGAAACGCUCCGGCGCCGAAGGGUGUGGCUGCGGCCGAUUAGGUAGACGGUGGGGUAACGGCCCACCGUGCCGAUAAUCGGUACGGGUUGUGAGAGCAAGAGCCCGGAGACGGAAUCAGAGAUAAGAUUCCGGGCCCUACGGGGCGCAGCAGGCGCGAAACCUUUACACUGCACGCCAGUGCGAUAAGGGGAUCCCGAGUGCGCAGGCAUAGAGCCUGCGCUUUUCUGAACUGUAGGGAGGUUCAGGAACAAGAGCUGGGCAAGACCGGUGCCAGCCGCCGCGGUAAUACCGGCAGCUCGAGUGAUGGCCGAUCUUAUUGGGCCUAAAGCGUCCGUAGCUGGCCUUGCAAGUCCGUCGGGAAAUCCACCCGCUCAACGGGUGGGCGUCCGGCGGAAACUGUGAGGCUUGGGACCGGGAGGCUUGAAGGGUACGUCCGGGGUAGGAGUGAAAUCCCGUAAUCCUGGACGGACCGCCGAUGGGGAAACCACUUCAAGGGAACGGAUCCGACAGUGAGGGACGAAAGCUAGGGUCUCGAACCGGAUUAGAUACCCGGGUAGUCCUAGCUGUAAACGAUGCCUGUUAGGUGUGACUCCCACUACGAGUGGGUGUUGUGCCGUAGGGAAGCCGCUAAACAGGCCG
rnacentral:rRNA from 1 species